rnacentral:lncRNA from 10 species
CACAAUGCUUCCUGUAAGUUGAGGAAGAGAUGAGUCUCCUGUCAGUGAACCAAUGAUGGUGGAGAAGCUGGUUGUCCACCUUGACUCACUUUUUCCAGUGUUUUAAAAACUGAGAGUUACGGGAAAUUUUCCCCAUGCUUGCUGUUAAGCAGAGUGGGAAGAGGAGCAUUGUGGAUUUGGAAAUCUGAUUCUCCGAUCAUCUGCUCACAGAUUUUAAGUUUUCUGUGGCCCCAGGAAAUGACUCAUCCUCAUAUUUGAGUUCUGGGAUAUUGCUGGUAAUAACCUAAGCACUGUAUAUUUAUUUUUUUUUUUAUGGCAGUAGUGAAGCCAGUUUGCUUCUACACAAUCAUAAUGGAAACAAAAGUCUGAACAGAGAGAAGAGAGAGAUGGAAAGAGAGAAGGGAUUCAUUGAAGACAUUUAGUAGUCAACGGAAACGUUAAGAGAAGAGGCAUCAUGAUGGCAGGUGGGUGGGUAUCAAAACUUUUCAGGAUAACUGGGAUCUUUCUGAUGCCUUUAAAAUGACAGUGUAUAAGCAGGCAACCACUCUAACUAGGCAGAUCAGUAAAAUCCAUUCAUAUUAACCCCAUUCCCCAGUAUCUUCC